CACGCAGGCGGUUUGUUAAGUCAGAUGUGAAAUCCCCGGGCUCAACCUGGGAACUGCAUUUGAAACUGGCAAGCUUGAGUCUCGUAGAGGGGGGUAGAAUUCCAGGUGUAGCGGUGAAAUGCGUAGAGAUCUGGAGGAAUACCGGUGGCGAAGGCGGCCCCCUGGACGAAGACUGACGCUCAGGUGCGAAAGCGUGGGGAGCAAACA
rnacentral:rRNA from 1 species